AGCGUAGACGGUCAAGCAAGUCAGAAGUGAAAGGCUGGGGCUCAACCCCGGGACUGCUUUUGAAACUGUUUGACUGGAGUGCUGGAGAGGUAAGCGGAAUUCCUAGUGUAGCGGUGAAAUGCGUAGAUAUUAGGAGGAACACCAGUGGCGAAGGCGGCUUACUGGACAGUAACUGACGUUGAGGCUCGAAAGCGUGGGGAGCAAACA
rnacentral:rRNA from 1 species